ensembl:snoRNA
GCAAUGAUGACAUUUUUUGGUUUUGAUCAGCUCUGAAAAAACACAACCAAUUCCUCUAAGAAGUUCUGAGCUC